rnacentral:rRNA from 1 species
GUGCCAGCCGCCGCGGUAAUACGUAGGGGGCAAGCGUUGUCCGGAUUUAUUGGGCGUAAAGAGCGUGUAGGCGGCCUUACAGGUCAGCUGUGAAAACUCGAGGCUCAACCUCGAGACGUCGGUUGAAACCGUAAGGCUAGAGUCCGGAAGAGGAGAGUGGAAUUCCCGGUGUAGCGGUGAAAUGCGCAGAUAUCGGGAAGAACACCCGUGGCGAAGGCGGCUCUCUGGGACGGUACUGACGCUGAGACGCGAAAGCGUGGGGAGCGAACAGGAUUAGAUACCCUCGUAGUCC